GCUCGCAAAGUUCUGCAAAUAAUUUUUGUAAAAAGUAAUACACCGAAAGUUGGAGCCUCUUUUAUGGUGAUAAAAAAAAAAAAAAAUAAAAAGAAACCAUUUGCCGACACGAUAUCGACCAAUCACAAAUGCAUCGACGAGGGCGACUUUAGUCGUAACACAAUCCUAUAAAUCAUAAUAUUCAAAUUAACAAAGGUUCAAUAAAUUAAAAACUGCGGUCAUGGGUCUACAUAAAGAAGAAGAAAGAGAAAAGACGAAGUAGAAGGAGAAGAACAAGAACAACAACAAUAAAAGAGAAUGUAUUCUUCUCCCUCGAGGUUCUCUCCACUCGUCUGAAAAGUGAUCGACGACUUAUGCAGGUUGAAGAGAGCAACUGAGUCAAGAAAGAAACAUCUUCAUAGCUCUCUAAGUAUGAAUGGAACGAGGCCGUUGUUGGACACGAGGUAAGAGUCGACAGACGCGUGAGAAGAUGCAAGUGAAAUAAAUAAAAAAGAAAAUUAAAGAAAAAUUAAAAGAAAUUUAAAGAAGAGGAAAAAAAGCAGGGGAAAGAUGAAUUAAAAAAAAGAAAACAAGAAAGAAAUGAAAAUGAUAGGAAAAGAUACAAGAAAGAUAUCAAGAGGAAUAAUGUCAGGAAUGUUUUAUAUAUUAUGCCUUAAAUUGAUUAGACAUUGAAGUAUUGAAUAAGAAAAAUAUGAAAUAAAUAAAAGAAGUUUUGGUGAGCCGUUACAACUUAUUGGCAUUAUAUCAUUCAAUGCAGUAUGUAUCCAAUUUACAUUAGAUGAUGGCAAUUCAAGAUGCUAGUGGUCUUAUAAUAAGCACAUAUCGAACAGUGUUCAGAGUAAAAGCUGAUCUCUUGACUUGGAUAAACAAUUUGCACGCGACCUUCCAAUUAUAACACUCGAUUACGAUGAAUCCCAAUGUGCGCCAGUGAAUCAAAGACAAGAGAAACGUGUGGAAUCCAGUGCCUGACCUUGCACCAACCUAGGCUCUCUGUCAUUGUCCCAACGUCUCUACAAGAGCAUCUUGGCUUUGAGAUCGGGAUCCAAAGACGUUUGUUUUUUUUAUUUCUUUUCUUCAUUUUUUCAGUCUUCUUCUUUCUUUCGUCUUUCUAUCGUGUGUACUCUUGAGUUGUUCACACGCUGAAUCUCGAAACGAGCAAUCUCAUUUCCAACAGUAGAACAAGCAAGACACCAAGAAUUGCUGCCAAUAUCAGAGAUUAUAUUUCAAAGAGGCGCAGAAAUCGGUCGGAACUUUUGUUUCUUCUGGUUUUCUUCCUUACUUGUUCAAUUCUCUGUAUGCUCAGUUACGAUUGCCAUCUUGCGCAUAGACAGUGUCAGUCACCCGUUGACAAUCGGACAAGGCCGUUUGCUGUGCAAGCACGUAUUCAAUUCUCCGAUCAAAAAUUCAAAAACAAACUUCAUUCCUAUUGGAAUAGUAUGGUUUUUGACUUCAAUAACAGGACAAUUACUCAAUGGCAUAUCAUUUUCUUAUUUAUGUACAACAACUUUCACAUAUGAAUAUAAGUUGAAUAUAAUGUGUAAAAGAAAUAAGGGACAAGUAAAGAAAUCAAAAGGGUCGACGUCGUAUAGCCAGUUAAACUGUGUAGUGUAAGAGAUAAAACAUGAAACAGUAAGGUUGUGGAAUAAGAGAAGAAGAACAAACGAAAGAAUCAAAAGAUGAGACAGAGAAAAAAAAAAAGCUAAAAGGGCAUGGAUACAUCAAAACUAUCUAAUCUACGCUCGUUUUUCACCCACUGGUUUAUUACCUGUUCGUAGUCCAGACCAGCUGUCAGUGUCAAAACUCCAGUGGUUGGAUUUAAAGAGAAGACGUCGUUAGCCCAAUCAGAUAUUAGAGCAUAACUUAGUUGACUGUUAGGACCUUCAGCAUCAGCAUCUAUUGCUAUUACUUGACCAAUCUGACUGCUAUGAGAAACAUUUUCUGCGAUGUCAAAGGAAUAAACUGACGAUUGAAAUAUUGGAGCAUUGUCAUUAGUAUCAGUCACCUAAAUAAAAAGAUGUAUACAAAAAGAAGGAAGGAAUUAUGAUACAGUAAAAAAUACGCAAGAAUUGUAAGAAGAAAGGCCACAAGAUUCUACCGUUAUUUUCUUCGAUUCGAUGAUCGUAAAGACUGAUGUGGUAUCGGACGUUGUCUUGUCUCAAGACAUGUAUUUUAUCGUAUUGUAGCUUUCGAAAUGUUUUUUUAAUCUAAUCUAUAUAGAGUAAGAAUGCAAUUUAUCAAUGGAAUUUAAGAUGAAUAAAAUUCAUUACAGAAUUUUCCCAAAAUUAUUCUAAUGUAGCUGAUAUUCUGAUAGCUAGAAAAAACGAUAACAUAUGGGAAGAGCUACAAUGUUCCUGAAACUGGUAGCAGACAAAAAAGGAGAUACAGAACACAAAGGUCAGACAGAUAGAAACAAAGUUAGAAGUAGACAUUCAGGUAAAAUAUCAGUAACAGCCUCAACAUC